GACGAACGCUGGCGGCGUGCUUAACACAUGCAAGUCGAACGGAAAGGCCCUGCUUUUGUGGGGUGCUCGAGUGGCGAACGGGUGAGUAACACGUGAGUAACCUGCCCUUGACUUUGGGAUAACUUCAGGAAACUGGGGCUAAUACCGGAUAGGAGCUCCUGCUGCAUGGUGGGGGUUGGAAAGUUUCGGCGGUUGGGGAUGGACUCGCGGCUUAUCAGCUUGUUGGUGGGGUAGUGGCUUACCAAGGCUUUGACGGGUAGCCGGCCUGAGAGGGUGACCGGCCACAUUGGGACUGAGGUAGGGCCCGGACUCCUACGGGAGGCAGCAGUGGGGAAUAUUGCACAAUGGGCGGAAGCCUGAUGCAGCAACGCCGCGUGCGGGAUGACGGCCUUCGGGUUGUAAACCGCUUUCGCCUGUGACGAAGCGUGAGUGACGGUAAUGGGUAAAGAAGCACCGGCUAACUACGUG
rnacentral:rRNA from 1 species